rnacentral:rRNA from 1 species
UACAGAGGUCCCAAGCGUUGUUCGGAUUCACUGGGCGUAAAGGGUGCGUAGGCGGUCGGGUAAGUCUGAUGUGAAAUCUCACAGCUUAACUGUGAAACUGCAUUGGAUACUAUUCGGCUUGAGAGUUGGAGGGGGGACUGGAAUUCUUGGUGUAGCAGUGAAAUGCGUAGAUAUCAAGAGGAACACCAGUGGCGAAGGCGAGUCCCUGGACAACUUCUGACGCUGAGGCACGAAAGCUAGGGGAGCAAGCAGG